UGGGGUUGUGGCUCAGUGGUGGAGCGCUUGCCUUGCAUGUGUGAGGUACUGGGUUUGAUCCACAGUACCUUAA
rnacentral:tRNA from 1 species